rnacentral:lncRNA from 1 species
AGGACUUUGUGGCCCUCUCUCCAGUCUGGAGACCAGAAGGCCAGGAAGGGAGGCCAGGCAUGGUGGCUUAUGCUUGUAAUUUCAGCACUUUGGGAGGCCAAGGUGGGAGCAUCUCUUGAGCUCAGGAGUUCCAAACUAGCCUGGGCAACAUGGCGAGACCCCAUCUCUACAAAAAAUAAAAAAAUUAGCUGGGUGGUGGCACAUACCUAUAAUCCCAGCUACUUGGGAGGCUGAGGUGGGAGGAUUGCUUGAACCCAGGGGUUCAAGGCUGCAGUGAGCUAUGAUCGUGCCACUGCACUCAAGCCUGGGUGACAGAGACCCUGCCUCUACAAAAAAAAAGAAAGUUAGCUAGGUGCCUGUAGUGCCUGUAAUCCCAGCACUUUGGGAGGCCAAGGUGGGAGGAUCGCCUGAGCCCAGGAGUUCAGUGCUACAGUGAGCUAUGAAGACGCCACCAUACCCCAGCCUGGGCAACAAAGUGAGACCCCAUCUCUAAAAAAGGAAAAAAAAAAAAAAAGAAAGAAACAAAAGAAAGAACAGGAAGGAUCUAAUUCCACUGGAUCAGCAUGAAAGCGGCGUGUGCCUAUGUAUGUCCAUUUCGCUUUCUCUGUCCUGCUCUGACCCAGCAGAUUGGCCUCCAGGGACUGCACCACUGAGACCCCACACUCUCUUGCUUCUCGUGAGGUGUGGCCAGUGGAGGCACUGGCAUGAGAUCAGGGGGCGGGAAGACAGAGCCCAGUUCCCUCUGGUGGCUUCAUCCUUUCACUUACAGCCCCUGCUCCUGCGGGGCCCCUCACCCAUGGCUACUGCCUGCUGAUCAGGAAACAUCACUCCCUCCCUCCCAUCAGCAAUCAGAUCCAGGAGUGCUUAGGCCCCAUUACAGCCAAGUCCCAGGUCACCCUCUCUGGUCCAUUCCCCUAAUGCUGCCCACACCUUUGUAAACGCUCUCAAUUGCCCUGUGAGACAGCGUACCAUCUGUUUCCUGCCAGGGCCCGACGCAUACAGGGUGUGGGCAAGGGUUUGUGAAAUGCAGGGUCUUAGAGUUCACCCAGUUCACCUUCCCUUUUAAAAAUGUUUCACUUUAGAGACAGGCUCUUGCUCUGUCACAGAGGCUGGUGUCCAGGGGUGCCAUCAUAGCUCACUGCAGCCUCCAACUCCUGGGCUCAAGCGAUCCUCCCACCUCAGCCUCCAUAGUAGCUGGGACUGCAGGUUCACACUACCAUGUCUGGCUAAUUUUUCUUUUGUUUUGUUUUGAGACAGUCUUGUUCUCUUUCACCCAGUUCACCUUCCCUUUUAAAAAUGUUUCACUUUAGAGACAGGCUCUUGCUCUGUCACAGAGGCUGGUGUCCAGGGGUGCCAUCAUAGCUCACUGCAGCCUCCAACUCCUGGGCUCAAGCGAUCCUCCCACCUCAGCCUCCAUAGUAGCUGGGACUGCAGGUUCACACUACCAUGUCUGGCUAAUUUUUCUUUUGUUUUGUUUUGAGACAGUCUUGUUCUCUGUCACCCAGGCUGGAGUGCAGUGGCAUGAUCUGGGCUCACUGAAACCUCCUUCACCUGGGUUCAAGUGAUUCUCCUGCCUCAGCCUCCACAGUAGCAGGGAUUACAGGCAUGCACCACCAUGGCUGGCUAAUUUUUGUAUUUUGUAUAGAGACGGGUUUUCACCAUGUUGGCCAGGUUGGUCUCAAACUCCUGACCUCAGGUGAUCCUCCUGCUUCUGCCUCCCAAAAUGCUGGGAUUCCAAGUGUGAGCCACCACGCCUGGCCUUAACCACCAUGCCCGGCCUUAAUUUUUGUAUUUAUGUUUUGUAGAGAUGGGGUGUUGCUAUGUUGCCCAGGCUGGACUUGAACUCUUGGUCUCAAGCAAUCCUCCCACCUCGGCCUCCCAAAGCACUAGGAUUAGAGGUGUGAGCCAUCUGCACCUGGCCUAACCAUUGCUUUUUAUGUAAGGGGAAACUGAGGCCCAGAGAGUGUGAGUGAUCUGUCUUGGGUCACUCAGCCCCAGGGUUGGGGCUCAUAGCUGUUCUGAAAAGGUUCUGGAGAGGCCAGGGCUUAUCUCACAGAGGUUGGCAGCCUGUCUGCCCCAUCCCCUGCCUGCCUCUCCCAGCCUGGUAGCUUCAAGAUCAUUUGAGCAUUUCCUCCACAGCAGGAGCCGGAUGCAUCUGCUCCACCUAAUAACCCCAUUAGGGCCAUUUGCGCCUCUCAGGGGCAGGCGCCUGGGAACCCAGCCAGCGCCCUCCUCCCUGACCUCUUGCCCCAGAGGGCAGGGCCCCUCCACAUGGCACAGGGUGUCUUCCGGUCUCCUCUCCAUCCCUCACCCUCCCCUACCUGCCCAUCAGCAACACAUUGCUCCUCCUGCCUGGCACCCUUCCAAGGUCCACCUGGCCCAAGUGUCCUGCUCCUUCUUCAAAGCCACCCCUCCCCAAGAUGCUGCCUCUGAAGCUCCAACAGUCCAUCUCCCUGACAGUUGUGUCCUCUCCUUCUCUCGUAUGUGGUAGUAUCACUGUCUUCCCCCUAAAGCAGUGGGCACCUUGAGGGCAGAACCUUGCCGCGGGCAUCUCUGGCCCCUGGGGUCCGAGCACUGAGCGGGAAUCCUGAUGAUAAGUGUUGCAUGAGCUGGGCACAGUGGCUCACGCCUGUAAUCCCAGCAGGAGGAUCACUUGAGACCAGGAGUUCGAGACCAGCCUGAGCAACAUAGUGAGACCCCGUCUCUAAAGAAAUUUAAAAAAUUAGCCAGACAUAGUGCCAUGUACCUAUAGUCCAAGCUACUUAGGAGGCUGAGGCGGAAGGAUCGCUUGCACCCAGGAGUUUGAGGCUGCAAUGAGCUAUGAUCACACCACUGUUCUUUCCAGCCUGGGCAACAGAGUGAGAUUCCAUGUCUACAAAAAAAUUAAAAAUUAGCCGGACGUGGUGUCAUGUGCCUGUAGUCCCAGCUACUCUCAGGAGGCUGAGGUGGGAGGAUCACCGGAGCCCAGGAAUUAGAGACUGCAGUGAGCUAUGAUGGUGCCACUGCACUCCAGCCUGGGCUAUAAG